rnacentral:rRNA from 1 species
UUCCCGGUUGAUCCUGCCCGGAGGCUACCGCUAUUGGAAUUCGAUUAAGCCAUGCGAGUCGAGAGAUUUCGGAUCUCGGCAGACGUCUCAGUAACACGUGGAUAAUCUGCCCUUGAGUGGGGGAUAAGCUUGGUAACCUGAGUAUAAUACCCCAUAGGUCUAGGAUGCUGGAAUGCUUCUGGGCUGAAAGCUCCGGCGCUCAAGGAUGAAUCUGCGACCUAUCAGGCUGUAGUGGGUGUAACGGACCCACUAGCCUUCGACGGGUACGGGCCUUGAGAGAGGUUGCCCGGAGUUGGACUCUGAGACACGAGUCCAGGCCCUACGGGGUGCAGCAGGCGCGAAAACUUCACAAUGUGGGAAACCGCGAUGAGGGGAUUCCAAGUGCCAGCACAAUGUGUUGGCUGUUCACCUGCCUAAAAAGCUGGUGAAGUAAGAGCCGGGUAAGACGGGUGCCAGCCGCCGCGGUAAUACCUGCGGCUCGAGUGGUGGUCGUUAUUAUUGAGCCUAAAGCGUCCGUAGCCGGUUUAGUAAAUUUCUGGGUAAAUCGGGCAGCUCAACUGUCCGAAUUCCGGAAAGACUGCUAAACUUGGGACCGGGGGAGGUUGGAGGUACUCCUGGGGUAGGGGUGAAAUCCUGUAAUCCUGGGGGGACCACCAGUGGCGAAGGCGUCCAACCAAAACGGAUCCGACGGUAAGGGACGAAGCCCUGGGGCGCAAACGGGAUUAGAUACCCCGGUAGUCCAGGGUGUAAACGCUGCAGGCUUGGUGUUGGGGGUCCUACGAGGGCGCCCAGUGCCGGAGAGAAGUUGUUAAGCCUGCCGCUUGGGGAGUACGUCCGCAAGGAUGAAACUUAAAGGAAUUGGCGGGGGAGCACAGCAACGGGUGGAGCGUGCGGUUCAAUUGGACUCAACGCCGGU